GACGUAGGGAGCGAGCGUUUGUCCGGAAUUACUGGGCGUAAAGAGCUCGUAGGCGGGACCGUAAGUCCGAGAGGAAAUCUCAAGGCUCAACUUUGGGGCUUUCUUGGAUACUGCGGUUCUGAGGAUGAGAGAGGUAAGCAGAAUUCCCGGUGUAGCGGUGAAAUGCGUAGAUAUCGGGAGGAAUACCAGUGGCGAAGGCGGCUUACUGGCUCAUUCCUGACGCUGAGGAGCGAAAGCGUGGGGAGCAAACGGG
rnacentral:rRNA from 1 species